CGGUAACAGAAGGCAUGGCUUCCCGCCCCAACUCUGCUCUGCUCCUAUAG
rnacentral:snoRNA from 1 species